GAUGAACGCUGGCGGCGUGCUUAACACAUGCAAGUCGAACGGUGAAGCCCAGCUUGCUGGGUGGAUCAGUGGCGAACGGGUGAGUAACACGUGAGCAAUCUGCCCCUGACUCUGGGAUAAGCGCUGGAAACGGCGUCUAAUACUGGAUAUGAACCGUGGAGGCAUCUUCAACGGUUGGAAAGAUUUUUUGGUCAGGGAUGAGCUCGCGGCCUAUCAGCUUGUUGGUGAGGUAAUGGCUCACCAAGGCGUCGACGGGUAGCCGGCCUGAGAGGGUGACCGGCCACACUGGGACUGAGACACGGCCCAGACUCCUACGGGAGGCAGCAGUGGGAAUAUUGCACAAUGGGCGCAAGCCUGAUGCAGCAACGCCGCGUGAGGGAUGACGGCCU
rnacentral:rRNA from 1 species